GGUGGCUCAGUAAUAGAGUGCUUGCCUUGCAUGCAUGAGGCCCUGGGUUCAAUUCCUCAGCACCA
rnacentral:tRNA from 1 species